rnacentral:lncRNA from 1 species
CAAGUGUUCACUUAAAAUCUGUAUUAAAGCACUCUCUCCUGCUUUUCUGCCUUAAUUACCUUAAUUAAGGCAGACAUCAGUUACUUUGAAACUCUCAGUAUAAUACAUCAAGUCUCUCAAAGCUUUGCUUUAAUAAUUGGAGGGAGAAUGUUGCCAAAGUCCAGAAGAAUUUUGAAAUGUGAUUUAUAGUUCUUCUGCUAGGUAGACUUCACCAACUAAAUUUAAGACGUAUUACACCAAUUACUAACUCUAGUGUUAGUGCAGUUGCAAACAAGGCAGAUGAACACAGACUUUAGCAUUUCCUGAUACAGACAUUUGACUCGCAGUAGUUUAUGUAGGCCUUCUGAAGCAAUUCCUGGAAUUGGCAGAAUUGCAGUUUACCUCUUCUCAGUGCUCUGUUCUUACAGUGCCGUCACUGCAGUUAACCAUAAAGGUCCAAGGGGAACAGUUCUUGUCAACACCGACAAACUGUAAAAAUCUAGAGUUUUUUUCGCCCUACCAGGGAUACUAACGCUUUGUUGGUGUAGGUGGAGUAAAAGCCCAGACUUGCAGGCUGUAGGUUACCCUCUGUGCUUGCUGAAAGAUCAGCUGCAGGUUGCUGUUCAGUCCUGAUGUGUUGGGCUAGUGGUGACUGCCAUACUUUGAAGCCUACUGGUUAUAUGAAAGAUGGCCUGCUGUUAGCUUAGGGUCCAAAUACAGCCUUUAAGACAGUUGUUCCCCUGCUUCCUGGCCUUUUAAAAUGCCUAAAAAUAGCAAAUGUUCACUUUUCUUUGGGGAUUUUCUCUAGAUUGCUGACUCAUAGAUGCAAAGUCAGGUGAAAUUCAGCAAGAUUUAUAAGCUAGUGCUUACUGCUAUGCAUACAAACCGGUAAUAUCUUCAGGUCCCAGCUGGAAGCAGUAUAGCUGCUGCUCCUGAGCUCCAUGGAGAAUUGCAGUUCACACGAAAGAGCUGGGUCUGUAUGGAGCGGACCUCUGUGUCCCAGGACUGCCCCGGUUGUCUUCAACUGCUGCACAGUGUUGGGUCUGUCGCAGUGAUGCUGGCUUCUGCAGAGCCACUCCAAAGACUUCAAAUGUUGGAUUCUCCUCAUGUCUCUUGGCAAGUUAUUCUGGUGGCUAGAAGUAAGAUACAAAUAUUUGUCUAAUAUUGACUGCAGGAAAAAGGCAUAAGAUGAAGAGAAAUCAGUUGUUUGAAGUCUCUUCUUGAUUUAGGUUGUAAUUAAGUUGUGGUUUAAUGUUCUCUUAUUUAAGACAUCACUUUACCUCAGUAUAAG